GAUGAAGAACGUAGUGAAAUGCGAUACGUAAUGUGAAUUGCAGAAUUCAGUGAAUCAUCGAGUCUUUGAACGCACAUUGCGCCCCCUGGUAUUCCGGGGGGCAUGCCUGUCCGAGCGUCAUUGCUGCCCUCAAGCACGGUUUGUGUGUUGGGCCUCCGUCCUCCUCCCGGGGGACGGGCCCGAAAGGCAGCGGCGGCACCGCGUCCGGUCCUCGAGCGUAUGGGGCUUCGUCACCCGCUCUUGUAGGCCCGGCCGGCGCUUGCCGACACAUCAAUCUUUUUUCCAGGUUGACCUCGGAUCAGGUAGGGAUACCCGCUGAACUUAAGCAUAUCAAUAAGCGGAGGA
rnacentral:misc_RNA from 1 species